CAAAGUACCCCUAGUGUGUGAGCUCAGAGAUGCUCCACUGGCACUUGUAAGCUUGCUCAGUAUGUUAGAGUCUAGCUGCCUUCCCAAGGGACUAGGGAUGCCUGAGAUAUUGGGAUCACCUGGAGGGGACCCCACAGCCACAAUGGUAAUAAAGUGACUCAGGAAAGCUGGCUCAGCCUAUAGUCCAGAAGUCAUGUGGAUCACUUCUGAUAGUGAUGCCAGGCAAGCCCAGGGCAUGGAACCCUGAGCUUGUCAAAGACUGGUUGUCCCUGUAUUUUGACCUUUCAUAAUGACCAAGGCUGGCCUGAAGCUCUCAAAAUCCUGACACCAUAACUUGAGUGUGCCAGCACAUAUCUGUACGUGUGUAUUGUGUAAAUUUGUAAACACACCUGCACAUGUAUGUCCAGGUGCAGACCGAAUGCGGCUGUGACCCAGUUGCUUGGAAACUCUUCUUGACUGCGAGGCGGGCUGCAUCUGCUCUGCCAUGUCUCUGGAACCUAAGUCACUAUUGUCACCAAGGGCACCCUCUGAUUUGGUGUGUCCUGGGUACAGAGCUCUCACAGUGGGCACGAUGGCAUGACAGAUGGACACUUGCCUGCAUCACUGGAGCCCAGAUCCAAUCAUCCAGUGGUCAGCUCACUCCUGCUAGCUAACUGUUGCUUGUAACUCGCCAGGAUCCCAGGCAUCAGUGAAGCCCUGAGCCAGAAAGCUCCAGGCUGGUCCCUUCUUCUCCUUGUGGUAGCUUGUUGGCUGGACAUGGAGACCCUCUCAUGGUGCUCUGCCCUUAGUGGCUUCUCUGGCGGUCCUUGGAAAAGGCGUGGCUAGCUACCUGGUGGAUUCUCCAAGCAUCCCCAUCUGCUCUGGAUGGAGGAUGUUGAAUGAUGUGCAUUAUUCUGUCACCUGAUGGGACAUGUUUUGCUGGGUGUUGGAUGUGCGUGCAUUCAGUGUUGAGCCUCUGAGCUUUGAGUAAGCCAUGGUCCUGUCAAGACCUUCUCACCUACAAACUGAAGAGGGGUCAGCUGCAUAGUGACCCCCCAGUCCCUGUGACACUAUGGCUCUGGAGUCCCGGUUGCCAGGGGCAGCUUUCUCUCUCCAAAUGUCAGCACGGAUAUUAAAGCUCUCUGGAACGGCA